GAUGAAACGUAGCGAAAUGCGAUACGUAAUGUGAAUUGCAAAUUCAGUGAAUCAUCGAGUCUUUGAACGCACAUUGCGCCCCCUGGUAUUCCGGGGGGCAUGCCUGUCCGAGCGUCAUUGCUGCCCUCAAGCACGGCUUGUGUGUUGGGCCCCGUCCUCCGAUCCCGGGGGACGGGCCCGAAAGGCAGCGGCGGCACCGCGUCCGGUCCUCGAGCGUAUGGGGCUUUGUCACCCGCUCUGUAGGCCCGGCCGGCGCUUGCCGAUCAACCCAAAUUUUUAUCCAGGUUGACCUCGGAUCAGGUAGGGAUACCCGCUGAACUUAAGCAUAUCAAUAAGCGGAGGA
rnacentral:misc_RNA from 1 species